UGUCAAAAUGAAUUGGACCAACUGUGGGUUCCAGGACCCCAGAGCCAGCAAUGCCUCCCUGGACGACCCCACACCAUUGCUCUGCUUGGAGAACAUCACCACUCUGAAGCCGGAGACUACGCCCAAAGAGCUUAGCAGCGUCAGCACAGCAGCCACAGCUGUUUUCAGCGCCAUUGGUACCAUGGCCCUCCUUUUGCUUCUUGUGG